rnacentral:rRNA from 1 species
UACGAAGGGGGCUAGCGUUGCUCGGAAUUACUGGGCGUAAAGGGCGCGUAGGCGGAUAUCUAAGUUGGGGGUGAAAUCCCGGGGCUCAACCUCGGAAUUGCCUUCAAAACUGGAUAUCUUGAGUUCGGGAGAGGUGAGUGGAACUCCGAGUGUAGAGGUGAAAUUCGUAGAUAUUCGGAAGAACACCAGUGGCGAAGGCGACACACUGGCUCGCUACUGACGCUGAGGCGCGAAAGCGUGGGGAGCAAACAGG